UGCAAAAGUAAUUGCGGUUUUUGCCAUUAAAAGCAAUGGCCAAAACCACAAUUAAUUUUGCACC
rnacentral:miRNA from 1 species